UCAACGCCGGGAAUCUCACCGGAUAAGACAGCGGAAUGAUUGCCGGGCUGAAGACUCUGCAUGACUAGCUGAGAGGAGGUGCAUGGCCGUCGUCAGUUCGUACUGUGAAGCAUCCUGUUUAGUCAGGCAACGAGCGAGACCCACGCCAACAGUUGCCAGCAUGUUCUCCGGAAUGAUGGGGACACUGUUGGGACCGCCUCUGCUAAAGAGGAGGAAGGAAUGGGCAACGGUAGGUCAGCAUGCCCCGAAUUAUCCGGGCUACACGCGGGCUACAAUGGGCAGGACAAUGGGCUCCUACCCCGAAAGGGGUUGGUAAUCUCAUAAACCCGGCCGUAGUUCGGAUCGAGGGCUGCAACUCGCCCUCGUGAAGCUGGAAUCCGUAGUAAUCGCGUUUCAAUAUAGCGCGGUGAAUACGUCCCUGCUCCUUGCACACACCGCCCGUCAAACCACCCGAGUGAGGUAUGGGUGAGGGCACGAACUUUGUGUCGUGCUCGAACCUAAAUUUCGCAAGGGGGGUU
rnacentral:rRNA from 1 species